rnacentral:misc_RNA from 1 species
GCUUGUGGUACUCCACUCAAGGUAAUUGCUAUUCUGUUAUGGUGUCAGUGAAUACAUUGGAAAAUUCUUCAUUUUGAUCCUUGCACCAGAGAAACAGCAUAGUAAAGUAUGUGCUGUGAAGAGCAAAAUUAUCUAAUGGGUUCAAAUGCUGCCACUUAAAAAUCAGCUUCCUUGCCCACCCUUUAUUAUCCAUUUCCUUGAUUUGCUCCCUCUUCGAAAUAACAGUAUUGAUACCUUCUUUUUUAUUGUGUUGCUUAUAACGAGAAUCUACCAUCAUAUAAAUCAGACUAAUUGUGUUGCAAUGGAUUACACCAUUUACCCUUUUAAUUGUUUAUUCAAUUUGAUUUUUCCCAAGGAGUUGUCUAAUUUUGCUUUGAUUCUAAACAUUUGUUUCUUAGUACUAGAAUAGUCACCUAACUAGUUUAAUUUCUUGAACUAUCUUCUCUCAUCUUUGAUGUGAUAGAAUGCUCAUCUUUCUUCUUUACUAUCAAAGUGUUGCAAUUUUCGCUUAUUCUGCUAAUUCAUGCAUCAUUUGUGGUAGAAUGAUCUGAUUCAUCUUUACAGGUUAUACGGACAGUCCAAGCUG